AUUUGUGCCCCAGCAAAUGCGAUUUUUGUGUGAUUAUAUCAUGCAUUAUGCUUGGCCAUUCUUGUAUGCGACCCCUGUAUUAUGCGUUGGCUUUCACCACACGGGGCUGCCGAGUUACCCGACCCUUGUUGUAAAGAAAUUAGUGACCUGUGUAACACCAAGUAUAUGUCAAUAAACAGUAGGACAUGGCUAUAAUUAUAACAAAAACAAAAGAGCGGCGGACCAAUUGAUUGCCUAUCUCGUACAUGACGUGUGAUUGAUCACCAUGUGCUCGGUUGAAUAUUCCAAGCCUAGGAUUGGGGUGUGUUAAGCUAUGACCUUUGAUGCUCAUAGCACUUGUGACUUAUGCAUACUUUACGUUGUUUGCAGCUUCUUUUACAUAUGAUUGAGCCUGAUAAGAAGUUUUCCACUGAAAUUUACAUCCAAUUGAAAGUCGUAAGAAGGUUUCUACAUAAAUUUUCUUUUUGUGGAUAUACUCUUCUGUGGCAAUCAUCUUAUCGGCAGCAGCAUGACUGUACGUGUAUGGUUGUCAUGGCUCACCUUUUCUUUUUCCGCCAUGGCUCACUCGAAGCUGAUGUUGCAUCGCAAAUAGCUACAUCUCACCGAUGUCCACAACAUGAUUGUCGUCUCUUGAGCCAGAGGAAAAGCGGCG
rnacentral:lncRNA from 1 species